CCUACGGGUGGCAGCAGUGAGGGAUAUUGGUCAAUGGGGGAAACCCGGAACCAGCAACGACGCGUGAGGGAAGACGGUGUUCGGAUUGGAAACCUCUGUCCUCGGGGAAGAGAAUGACGGUAGCAGAGGAGGAAGCUCCGGCCAACUACGUGCCAGCAGCCGCGGUAACACGUAGGGAGCAAGCGUUGUCCGGAUUUACUGGGUGUAAAGGGUGCGUAGGCGGCCCUGCAAGUCAGAAGUGAAAUCCAUGGGCUUAACCCGUGAACUGCUUUUGAAACUGUAGGGCUGGAGUGGAGUAGAGGCAGGCGGAAUUCCCGGUGUAGCGGUGAAAUGCGUAGAGAUCGGGAGGAACACCAGUGGCGAAGGCGGCCUGCUGGGCUUUAACUGACGCUGAGGCACGAAAGCGUGGGUAGCAAACAGGAUUAGAUACCCUAGUAGUC
rnacentral:rRNA from 1 species